GCCGGGCGUGGUGGCUCACGCCUGUAAUCCCAGAACUUUGGGAGGCUGAGGCAGGUGGAUCACCUGAGGUCAGGAGUUCGAGACCAGCCCGACCAAAAUGGAGAAACCCUGUCUCUA
rnacentral:SRP_RNA from 1 species